rnacentral:snoRNA from 1 species
GGCCUCCUGGUGCUUACCACAGGUUGUGUUCAUAUACAGGAGACAAAGUAAACCUAUUCCAUAUAUACACCUCAGCCCAGGCUCUGUGCCUGGUCUAUACUGUGAAUGGGAAGACAUGA